CGUAAGGGUGGUCUGGCUCUUUCUCCACAACCAAGAACCUGACUUUCUUCAACCAAGAGCCUGACUGCACUUUUCCCAUGAGAUAAUUAGUUGAUAAAAGUUCUAUGUUUUUAUCCUCUUUUCUUCGAAGUAAGGUAAGGUAACACUUAUGAUAUUUUCAAUAGAUGUCUUAUCUUAACUAGAUAUUGUUCGAAAGAGCAAACUGCAAUGUUUGUUUGAUAGAGUUCAUUUACUAGCUAGAUAGCCAAAUAUUGCAAUUUAUCUGUAA